AAAUAAGUAUUCAUUUUUACCCUGCAUCAGAAUUUUGGUUUUGACAGGUGUUGUAUUAUGUCUCAGAUUGUCAACUGAUCUGAGCAGUUCCCUCUUCACCUCCUGUUGUCAUCAACAUUAUUUUGUCAAUUUAUUUCUGCAUAGCUCUCCAUUAUAAAAAUGUAAUGCACUGUAGAAAAAAACGUUGGGUUCCUUUAUAUGAUAAUAAUAAUAAUAAUAAUAAUAAUAAUGUAAUAUUAAGAGUAUUCAGCAAUGUGUGCUGGGUAAAGGAUAAUGAAAGUUAAUUGCCAAAUAGAUUUUGCUGCCAAUUUAACUUUGCAGCAAAUCUAUUAAAAGACCUGCUCAGAUGAAAUAACAACAAAUUAGCUUGAAUACCGAAUGCUUUAAGUUACCAGUUUCAUAAGAUGUUCAUUUCAUAAAAAACAACGUGGGUUCACUUCACCAGAAAUAGUAAGGCUUGUUCACUAAACUGCAAAUGCUGAUUAAUUAAAAAAUGUGAUGGAAAAUGUAGUCUAAUAUUGCCAAGCUAUAACUAAGUUGGAGAAGGAUUCCAAAUCAGCUACUUUGAGGAAACUAACCGAUUACAGUAAUAUAGUAUGGUAUGGUCUUCUUGACCCCCAUUGGCUUUUUAUUUAUUUGUUUAUUAAGUAUGUAAUGUGGCAGCUGGCUAGCAAGCUCUGUCCAGUCACCACAUAAUUAACUCUUGUGUUGCCAAAGGUUUUUUAUCUAUUGCCUGCUGGCUGCUAGUGCUGCAAAUAGUUUUUCUUUAUUAAAAUCCAGGCCUGGAUUUGAAGCAUUCUAUCAGUCUUUCAGCGGUAGGUUGGUGUUCAGUCUGGCUAAAAUCUAGACAAAAUUCAGGAUCUUUUGGGGCCUGAAACACCAAAUCUGGGCAUUGUUGAAUAUUAUAAAUGUCUGGAUUUCGAAGUAGAGAGUGGUUUUGCCCUGUUUUGUAAGAACUUUACUACUAUCCACUGCAUGUUGGAUGGACAUCAGUGAGUAGUAAAAUGAAAACUCCUUAAAUAACUAAUUUAAAUUAACAGAAAGAAAAAAAUGGGUCAAAUAUGAUGCACCUAAUUUUUGCAAGCUUGCUGUAAACUUACAAGUAGCAGCCUAUGAAAUAAGGUCAAAUAUAUUUGUACUAUUUUCAUGACUGUAUACAAUACACAAUAUAAUUUAUGAAAUAUGUUGUAUCAUUUCAACAUUCUAUAAAUCUGUCAAAAUCAGCAGAUACAUAAAGAAGUUAUGGGAUUAAUAGUAGAAUCCUGAUGACAGAAUGAAACAGUGAAAAAAACAAUGGAAAAAAAAACCUAUAAAUUUCACUUCAAGUAACCAAACUUUUUUGUGAACAAACCCCAGGAGAAUUUUUGGUCUUGUAAUAUGUAUUUUUAGUUUAUUUUUUCAUUUUUUU